GAUAUAGUACAGCUCCUCGUCAGCUACUUAUUGUUCAUCUGCUUCACAGGAGACACUGUGAUUACCUGCUAAUGUCAUUCAUCAGAUGUGCGUAAAGAAUGGUUAAAGGGAAAGUAUGACAAGGCCAUCGCUGACAAGUUCAUUUCAGAAACUGAACUAAAACUACAUUAAUGUUGAACUUUGGAGUAACUUUACAACUCUGAUUCUAUUGUUCAGAAGCUGCAAAUUGGUAUUUGGUGACUUGGAACUUCAUGAUGGGGAUCCAAAGACAAUGAGCAGUGACUCCUGGCUAUGGACAUCAACAGUGCUUUCUCUAGAUCUGCAGAAAUAUGGUUUUCUAUCAAAGAAACUACAUAUUUCAUAAGAUCUGAAUCACAUGGAAAUGUUAGAGGCCCAUCGCUAGGUGAUCCAAGUUCUUCUUCUGCAAUUUCGAGUAGCUCUCUGACAAUAUUAUUGUGAAGAUAUUCUAAAGGAAGCGAAAACCGCUUCUGAUCGGUGGAGUAAACUACAAAGUGGCCUUUCUGAGUUGUUGACGACGUGCUGCAACUGCUUGUAUCAGUUCUCUCAAUGGGUUGUGGCCGUGUGAUCCUUUUUCUCCUGAUAGCAGCCAGCUUCUGCCACUUCCUUGCCAAUUUGAUGAGCUUCUUGGCACUAAUCAUCUUGUCUUGUUUCACUCUAAUCUAAAGGGAAGAUCUUAAGCAAGAACUAGAGGUGAGCUCCAGGCUUUAGAAUUCUGAACGAUGAUCUUGUGAUGGUAGAGGCAAAGCAGGUGACUUGCUUAUAUACGCUCACGAUGCCAGACUCGAUCCCUUUCCAUGGAAACAAAACCAUGUGCUUGUUUUUCUCCUAGUAGCAGCUAGUUUCUGCCAUCUCCUUGCCAAUUUGAUGAUCAUCUUGGUACUGAUCAUAAAAACAACAACAUAAAAAUAAAUUAAUGAGAUAAACAACAAUGGGCUGUCAACUCCCCAAAGCGAGUGCCUUUUCACCAAUCCAUUAGUUUAUCCAAGCAGCCAAAAAUCAAAGAUGCAGAACAAGGAAUUGAAGAACAUAAUGUUACACAUGAAGAAGAUCUCCAAACAUUACAUUAUAACUAGAUUACAAUUACAGAUAUACUAAAAUAGCUAGGAAGUCAUUGUCAUGAUCUACAAUACAAAAACCUUUUUUUCUUCCAAUUUUGUUCUCAGGUUUUUUUUCAAUUGCAGUCUUCUAUGACUAGAUUGUUGACCUUUUUUAAAAAAUAAAAUGUUAAGGAAAUAAAAAUUUCAAUCAAAGAGGAUUAAAGUGUGAAAUAAGAAAAAACCUCAUGACCAAUCUUAAAUUCAUGCAAAAAAAGUAAUUUUUAGUCCACUUAUUUUUCUUUUUCUGAUUUUACGGACCCUAUAGUUUUUGAAAUUUUAGUUCUGAUCCAAAAGUUCAUUUUGUUUGUUUUUCAGUUCUUUAGUGUGAGAUGGAAGAGAGAAAAUCAUCGGAUAACAGCGAAACAAAGAAGUUGUCGUUGAUCAUAUUUCCUACAAAAAAGAGUCUAGUCUUGGUGUUAACAGAUUCAUUAAGGUGUUUUUAGAUCUUCAUCUCGUCAGAAAAAAUGGAUCGAGGUUAAGAGAAUUUUUAUCAGUUUGAUUUUGUGCUUUUAGAUUGAUUUAAAGGUGUUUUAGGUUGGAAAAUUGAUUUAUUAAGAUAGUAAGGGUGUAUUUUAGUUUUUUUCGAUGAAAAUUGGCUUAAAAAAAUGAUGUUUUCAACCCAAAAAAACUCUAGUCUAGAUUUUUUGACAGUCUUUCUAAUGAUUAAGAAUCUAGAAUAGUAAACGACAUGUGAUCUAUUAUUUAUUUAUUUUUUUACAUGAAGGCCAUUAUAAAUAGAAAAAAAAAAGGAAGGUCAAGCACUUGGGUUUAGCUUACAGCCAUCUAAGAUUGGACCUCACCUCUUUUGUUUUUUUUUUUUUUUUAGUAAAUUUUUUGAAUAUUAUAUUUAAGUUAUUAUUCAAUUUACUCAUAAUUCUCAAAUAAUAUUAUGGGCUUUUAUCUAACAUUUAUUUUUCAAUUAUUAUGUGCAUAAUGUGAAAAAAAAGUAUCAUGGUUAAAUUAAAAUUUAUGUUUUUUAAAAAUUUUAAUCAAUUUUUUAUAUAAUUCAAUAUAGAAUUUCCAAUGUAUUAUUUUUUUAAAAUUUUAAUUACAUUCCCUUCAUAAUAAUGAAAACAUUUUUUUUAAAAAAAAUUGCUCUUAUGAUUUUGAUAAUUCUUUUUCAACAGAUAAAUAUUCAGAUAAACAAAUUGCCAAAAAAGAUAUAAUCAAUGCAUUUCUGCAGCAUCAAUUUACUUUUUUUUAAUCAUAACUUGAGUAGAUAUAAAUGGGGAGGUAUUAGAAAAAGCCCUUUCCCUUGCUCCCAUCUUGACCUUUCCACCAUCAAGCCUUGCUAAGUUAAUUAACAGUUAAAGCAAGAUCUAAUGGCUGUCUUAGAGAAAGCUCCCUGAUCUGUGUUCAUCUCAGCCUCACAUCUUGGCUGGGUUCUUCUUUCUGAUGAAGUAAAAUUUGCACUACCUUGAGGGAUGCAUCUGUUCAUGAUCUGAUAGAGAGAGUCUUGGGUAUACUCUUGUGUAAAUUAUAAUUUAGAUCCUUUGAUUUUAUUGAUUUUGUAAAAUUAUAGCCUAUGUCUUUUAACCAAAGUUGAUUGUUUCCUUUCUCUAUAUAACAUGUGUCACAUCCUUUGAUUUUAUUGAUUUUAUAAGAUAAUAACCUAAGUUUUUUAACCAAAGUUGACUGUUAAUUUCUUUUUAAAUGUAUGUGUUUUGGAUGUAGUUUUUAGCAACAUAACAAGGGAUAAGUAAUGGUUUGCUCAAGUUCCCCUCUCUAUGUAAAAUGUGUCACACCUUUUAAUUUUAUUGAUUUUGUAAAAUUAUAACCCAAGUCUUUUGAUCAAAGUUGAUUGUUAAUUCUGUUUAAAAAUGUAUGUGUUUUAGGCUUAGUUUUUAGCAACAUAACAAGGGAUAAUUAAUGGUUUGCUCAAGUUCUUCUCUCUACGUAACAUGUGUCACACCCUUUGAUUUUAUUGAUUUUGUAAAAUCAUAACCUAAGUCUGUUGAUCAAAGUUGACUGUUAAUUCUUUUUUAAAUGUAUGUGUUUUGGGCUUAGUCUUUAGCAACAUAACAAGGGAUAAUUAAUAGUUUUCUCAAGUUCUUCUCUCUACGUAACAUGUGUCACACCCUUUGAUUUUAUUAAUUUUGUAAGAUCAUAACCUAAGUUUUUUAACCAAAGUUGACUAUUAAUUCUUUUUUAAAUAUAUGUUUUUUGGGCUUAGUCUUUAGCAAUAUAAAAAAUAAUAAUUAAUGAUUUGUUCAAGUUCUUCUCUCUACGUAACAUGUGUCACACCCUUUGAUUUUAUUGAUUUUGUAAAAUCAUGACCUAAGUUUUUUUUUUUAUAAAAAAUGACUGUUAAUUUUUUAAAAAAAAUAUAUGUGUUUUGAGCUUAAUCUUUAACAAUAUAACAAGGAAUAAUUAAUAAUUUUCUCAAGUUCUCCUCUCUAUAUGACACGUGUCUCUCCUAAUAUAUUAGCUUUCGUCACCCUUUAAAGGAUUGAAAAAACAAAGAGUUAAACAAUAUUUAUAAUUAGUGGAUCUCUUACCUCCACUAUUUUUAUACGAGAAAUGCUAAAUAAUGGGAAAAAAACAACAUUCUUAAAUAUAAUAGUGAUGAAUGUCAAACAUUAUGUUCUCUUUUGCUUUUGUUUUUGUUUAUAUAUAUAUAGUUACUGUAGGAUAUAAAGAUUGUAACUUUGGUGUAUUAUUGUAUUUUUGUUCUUAUGUUUGUUAAUGCCAAGAUGAGAUUUUUAGUUUCAACAUUAAAUUAUUUCAGUUUAGUUUUGAGUGGCUCCUGUUAAAAUACAUUAAUUUGUAGUGUUUAGUACAUGUGAAUUUCGAUUACUUGUUUGAUUGGUAUUUAUUUAUGUUUUAAAAUUUUUAAAAAACCUCGAUAUUUUAAGCUGAUUUAUUUGGAAAUAUUUAGUUAUUUUAAUAUUUUAUUUUAAAUAUAAAAAUUAUAAUAAAUUAUUUAAAUUUAUUUAUGAAUUGAAUUGAAUUCUUCAAGAAUUCAUAUAUAUAUAUAUAUAUAUACCAUAUGAGCUUCACUAACUACUUAAUCAUGAAGGAAUGAUCUGAUUGAGAAUUUAUCAAUACAUUAAGGACCUAAUUGAGAAAGAAAAUAGAUUGGGUCCUAUAAAUUAUUGGCUUGUUUUGGGCCAUGACCAUAAAAAUUCAGAAGUCCACCUGAACAUUGUGUUUUCUUUGUCAAACAAAUACCAAUUAGAUUUAUUUAUUAUUAUUAUUAUUUUUCUUUCAACCAAGAACACCGAGCGACCAAACGCUUAAAAUUCUCUCAAAUUCUUUCGGAAAGGCAAAAGCAAGCAGAAAGAUGGGAGACGAGACGGUGAAAAACGAUGCUUUGCAAAUUAUUGGAAUGUUUCAAGUGCUGCCUAGAUUGGUCGUCUUCGAUCUAGAUUACACUCUCUGGCCUUUCUAUUGGUACCUUUCUUUCUUUACAGCCACAUGCAUGAAGACAUAAAGUUGUGUCAAAUAUUAUGUUCCUUUUGUCAUGCUUUCUUCUUUAAUGUUGUUAUUUUCAUGUGGGUUUCUCACGCUUUGCUCUGCUUUUGUGUUACUGGGAAACUUUCUUGUUAAAAAUUGUAACUUGGUAUUAUAUGUUUGUGUUAUUUAUGAAGAUUGUUAGUAUCAGGAAAGAAUUUUUAAAUUAAAAUCUGAAUUACUGGAGAGCUGAAAUGGACUUGCUAGUAUGUUGGAAAAAAUGUUUGUAGUUUUAAUGAGAAUUUGUUUUUAAUUUCUUGGAGGGUACUUUUAAUGUUGUUUGAAUUGAAGCCUUGAAGUUAGUUUGUAAUAUGGUGUUGAUUGAAUGUGGGUUGAGUUGUUCAACUUAGUAUUUAGCCCUUCAUCGUUCACGCACCUCAUUGUAUGUAAUAUAAGUAAUUUGACAAUUAAUUUUGCAGCUAAUGUUUUUUCUACACAUUUAAUAACGUUUGAAACAUCAGUGGAAGCAAAACAUUCAGCAGUUGAUCGCGCUGGUACAUUCAACUCUUGCAUCUUACCUGCAUAUAAUGAUACUAAUGCCCUAUUUGGUCUUUAGAACCUUGCAUUAGUUUAAUAAAAAAAAAGUACUAUCUUUGUAGUACUUGAUUAUUUAAACAUUAGAAUGGUUUCUUUUUAUUUUCUCCUUGUGCCAAUGUUUUUUUGGUUCUCCAUGGUCUAAAUUUUGAUUCAAUUAUGGUUGUUAUUCAGCGAUUGUCUCUCCAAGCGUGAAAUGCCAUCCUUGUAUCCCCAAGCUAAAGGCAUAGUAUAUGCACUCAAGGAAAAGGGGAUUGACAUGGCCAUUGCUUCUAGAUCACCAACCUCAGAUAUUGCAAAGACAUUUAUUGACAAACUAAGUCUCAAGCCAAUGUUUGUAGCACAGGUGAGUCAGCAAGAACUAAGAAUCGUUUUUUUUUUCCUUUUAAAAUCUUUACUGUGCAAUGAGUAACAGGGUCAACAAUUGUGUUUCUUACUCGAGAACAUGACUAGCAGGGUCAUAGUUUAGUAGAACAUAGUCCUGAAAGGGAAGGAGAAAGAUGUAGCGUCUAACACACAGGGUUUGUAAAGUGUUGGAUACCGAAUUGUUUCUUGGAAUGGCUCAUGAUGUUGAGGAUUAAUUUAGUGCCUAAUAACUUGAUUUGAGUGAUGAGCCUCUUGAGUUUCAUCAUAUCAAAUAGGUAAGAAACUCUUAAGUCUAUUGUGUUUCUGAUGAUCCUUUUACACGAUCUGUAUUUCUGGGUCACUUCUGCUUAGUAUAAGUGGCUGGUGCUUGCCUUUGAUGAGAAACGAGGAAUUAGGAGUUACCUGUUUGUGCCAAAAGAUUAAUGUUCUAUCAUUCUGCUAGCUCGGAGUUCUAUUUUCUGGUCACUGUUGUCUUGGAGACUGUUUUGUUUUCCAUGUUGCUUUUGUAUGCACUUCAUGUUCCCUAUGAAAUUAUAUUCAUCUAUCAUCAAGAGGAACUACUCUUUGUUUGGCUUACAUGGUGAGUGAUUUUUUCUGACUAUUCAGGAAAUAUUUUCCAGUUGGACUCACAAGACAGAUCAUUUCCAGAGGAUUCAUUCGAGGACUGGGAUACCCUUUAACUCCAUGCUUUUUUUUGAUGAUGAGGAUAGGAACAUUCAAUCGGUAAAAACAAAACUUUCCUGCUUCCCCUGUCUUCUAAUUUUAUGAGUUGGAUCCUUUAAAUCUUGUAUUUUUUUUGUAAUGAACUGCCAAUUUCCCUGUGGAGUCAUCUAUUCCGUUUAAAAGAAUUUCUUUGUGAACAGGUUUCAAAAAUGGGAGUGACUAGCAUUCUGGUUGGUGAUGGGGUCAAUCUUGGAGCACUAAGACAGGGGCUCACAGAAUUUUCUCAAAAUGCUAGUAAAUCUGAGAAGAACAAGCAGAGGUGGCAGAAAUAUUCACAAAAUCCAAAUUCAUCUGAGAAGAAAGAUGAAGAUUGAACUUUUUGCACAUGCGCAAACGGAACUGGAGAUUAAGGCAUUGAAAUUGUUACCAGGCAAGGGUUGAAUUUGGGAGGACACAUUUUAUACGUAUAAAUUAAGAUCUAUUGUUGUAUUAUUUAUACCACAAGAACUCCUCAAGAGUGUUUAAUUCUGGUACAUGCUUCCCACAUUAAAUCAGAGCAUUGAGGUUGUAUACAUGAUUUUGAUUCAUGAUUUAUCUCCCAUUCUUGUUCUGAAAUGGAUGCAAGUCUAGUCUUGGUGUUAACAGGUUCAUUAAGGUGUUUUUAGAUCUUCAUCUCAACAAAAAAUAUGGAUCGAGGUUGAGAGAAUUUUUUUCGGUUUGAUUUUGUGUUUUUGGAUUGAUUUAAAGGCAUUUUAGGUUGAGAAAUUGGUUUAUUAAAAUGGUAAGGGUGUAUUUUAGUUGUUUUUGAUGAAAAUAGGCUUAAAAAAAAAAGAUGUUUUCAACCCAAAAAAACUCAUGUCUAGAUUUUUUGAUAGCCUUUUUGGUUCCUAGAAUCUGGAAUAGUAAAUGACAUGUUAUCUAUUAUUUUUUUGAAGUUUUUUUCAAAAAAAAGCCAUUAUAAAAGAAAAAAAAUAAAAAAGAAAAGGGCAAACAUUUGGGUUUAGCUUUCAGCCGUCUAGGAUUGGAUUCACCUUUUCUGUUUUAUUUUUUUUUAAUUUUUUUGAAUGCAUUAAAUUUUUUUAACAUUAUAUUUCAGUUAUUAUUCAAUUUCCUCAUAGUUCUCAAAUAAUAUUAUAGGCUUUUAUUUAACAUUUAUUUUUCAAUUAUUAUGUGCAUAAUGUGGAAAAAAAAGUAUCAUGGAUAAAAUAAAAUUUAUGUUUUUAAAAAUUUUUAAUCAAUUUUUUAUAUGAUUCAAUAUAGAAUUUCUAGUGUAUUAUUUUUUAAUUUUUAAAUACAUACCCUUCAUAAUAAUGAAUUUUUUUAAAAAAAAAUUGUUCUUAUGAUUUUGAUAAUUCUUUUUCAACAGAUAAAUAGUCAGAUAAACAAAUUGCCAAAAAAGGUAUUCGUAAUAGGAUAAAGAGAUUUUAAUUGAAGAGGUUUUUAUAUUUUAGAUCAUUAUGAGAGAUGAAAGAAGAAGAAUUGGUGCUUGUAAAUUGAGCUCCUUUAAGUCGUAACAAAUCCGAUAUAGUACAGCUCCUCGUCAGCUACUUAUAGUUCAUCUGCUUCACAGAAGACACUGUGAUUACCUGCUAAUGACAUUCAUCAGAUGUGCGUAAAGAAUGGUUAAAGGGAACGUAUGACAAGGCCAUCGCUGACAAGUUCAUUUCAGAAGCUGAACUAAAACUACAUUAAUGUUGAACUUUGGAGUAACUUUACAACUCUGAUUCUAUUGUUCAGAAGCUGCAAAUUGGUAUUUGGUGACUUGGAACUUCAUGAUGGGGAUCCAAAGACAAUGAGCAGUGACUCCUGGCUAUGGACAUCAACAGUGCUUUCUCUACAUCUGCAGAAAUAUGGUUUUCUAUCAAAGAAACUACAUAUUUCAUAAGAUCUGAAUCACAUGGAAAUGUUAGAGGCCCAUCGCUAGGUGAUCCAAGUUCUUCUUCUGCAAUUUCGAGUAGCUCUCUGACAAUAUUAUUGUGAAGAUAUUCUAAAGGAAGCGAAAACCGCUUCUGAUCGGUGGAGUAAACUACAAAGUGGCCUUUCUGAGUUGUUGACGACGUGC
rnacentral:lncRNA from 1 species